rnacentral:rRNA from 1 species
GAUCAGGCUCAGGAUGAACGCUAGCGACAGGCCUAACACAUGCAAGUCGAGGGGCAGCGAAGAGGUAGCAAUACCUUUGUCGGCGACCGGCGCACGGGUGAGUAACACGUAUGCAAUCCACCUGUAACAGGGGGAUAACCCGGAGAAAUCCGGACUAAUACCCCAUAAUAUGGGCGCUCCGCAUGGAGAGCCCAUUAAAGAGAGCAAUUUUGGUUACAGACGAGCAUGCGCUCCA